GACGAACGCUGGCGGCGUGCCUAAUACAUGCAAGUAGGACGCAGUUGCGAACGGGUGAGUAACGCGUCGGUAACUGCCUAUUAGAGGGGGCUAACUAUUGGAAACGAUAGCUAAUACCGCCUACUAGUAGAUGGACCUGCGUUGUAUUAGAUAGUAGGUAGGGUAAUGGCCUACCUAGGCGACGAUACAUAGCCGACCUUGGAGGGUGAUCGGCCAAGACUGGACUGGGACACGGCCCAGACUCCUACGGGAGGCAGCAGUAGGGGAUCUUCGGAAAUGGGGGGAACCCUGACCGAGCAACGCCGCGUGAGUGAAGAAGGUUUUCGGAUCGUAAAGCUCUGUUGUUAAGGAAGCGGUACUUAACCAGAAAGGGACGGCUAACUACGUGCCAGCAGCCGCGGUAAUUC
rnacentral:rRNA from 1 species